rnacentral:rRNA from 1 species
AUUGAACGCUGGCGGCAGGCUUAACACAUGCAAGUCGAGCGGGGGAAGGUAGCUUGCUACCGGACCUAGCGGCGGACGGGUGAGUAAUGCUUAGGAAUCUGCCUAUUAGUGGGGGACAACAUCUCGAAAGGGAUGCUAAUACCGCAUACGUCCUACGGGAGAAAGCAGGGGAUCUUCGGACCUUGCGCUAAUAGAUGAGCCUAAGUCGGAUUAGCUAGUUGGUGGGGUAAUGGCCUACCAAGGCGACGAUCUGUAGCGGGUCUGAGAGGAUGGUCCGCCACACUGGGACUGAGACACGGCCCAGACUCCUACGGGAGGCAGCAGUGGGGAAUAUUGGACAAUGGGGGGAACCCUGAUCCAGCCAUGCCGCGUGUGUGAAGGAGGCCUUAUGGUUGUAAAGCACUUUAAGCGAGGAGGAGGCUACUCUAGUUAAUACCUAGGGAUAGUGGACGUUACUCGCGGAAUAAGCACCGGCUAACUCUGUGCCAGCAGCCGCGGUAA